GUCGAGCGGUAGAGAGAAGCUUGCUUCUCUUGAGAGCGGCGGACGGGUGAGUAAUGCCUAGGAAUCUGCCUGGUAGUGGGGGAUAACGCUCGGAAACGGACGCUAAUACCGCAUACGUCCUACGGGAGAAAGCAGGGGACCUUCGGGCCUUGCGCUAUCAGAUGAGCCUAGGUCGGAUUAGCUAGUUGGUGAGGUAAUGGCUCACCAAGGCGACGAUCCGUAACUGGUCUGAGAGGAUGAUCAGUCACACUGGAACUGAGACACGGUCCAGACUCCUACGGGAGGCAGCAGUGGGGAAUAUUGGACAAUGGGCGAAAGCCUGAUCCAGCCAUGCCGCGUGUGUGAAGAAGGUCUUCGGAUUGUAAAGCACUUUAAGUUGGGAGGAAGGGCAUUAACCUAAUACGUUGGUGUCUUGACGUUACCGACAGAAUAAGCACCGGCUAACUCUGUGCCAGCAGCCGCGGUAAUACAGAGGGUGCAAGCGUUAAUCGGAAUUACUGGGCGUAAAGCGCGCGUAGGUGGUUUGUUAAGUUGGAUGUGAAAUCCCCGGGCUCAACCUGGGAACUGCAUUCAA
rnacentral:rRNA from 1 species